rnacentral:lncRNA from 1 species
UUUUUUAUUGCUACAUUACAAAUGAAGCCAAUAAAUAUAAGAGGGCAAUCUUCUAAGAUAAAAAAGAAACUGAAGCUUGAAUACACAACGGAAAUAAUUUCUCGGCCUUUUUAAAUCCAUAUGUUUGAUACGGUUCAACUUUGUGGUUUAGUUGUCUUGGAAGAUGCUAACUGCAAUUAGAGUGUGAAACUAACAACAGUUUUCGACCAGCUUGUUUAACCAUCCGCUCACCUUCAAAACAAGUACUUGAAACUGUCCUACUAUACAUCAUCAUAGUAGAGCCCAAGAUAUCAUCUCUGAAUCCACAUGCUUUGAAGAAGAACCUGAAAUAAGCUAUACAUAUCAUGCUUUUCAAGAACAAUUAAUACAAAUCAUUUCAUCGAUGACCCUGCCAAAGUAACCUCAUAUAUAUGUAUGUAUAUAUAUAAAUAUUUCAAUCCCAACUUUCCAUGUAACCAAGCCACUGGUGUAGUAGUAACUGAGAAAUGACUUAUGUUGCUUUCAAGUUUUGGUUGACACUAAGUCGAAGAUUCAAACCUUGACAACCCCCUUUUCCCUUGAUUAUCUCAAGUUUCUACAUAACUUAUUUACAACUAGUCUAUAUGAUGAUGUUUAUUGAAUGAGAUAAACUAUGCAGUUCAAUGAAAGAAUGAAAGCACCUAUCUAAUAAAAUUUAAGGCCCUUUUAGAUUUAGUGUGAAGGUAGCAGAAGAAAGCCAUUGAGCCAGAUAUCAUAAAAACCAAUCAGAAAGAUGCCAGGCAAUUGUAAUACACUUACUUCAGUUAAAAGUUUCAGAAUUAGUAGAAACAUAAGAGUAACAAACCUUACAAUCCUUUUAACUAUUAUUGUCCCAAUUCCCAUGCCUUGAAAAGUAGGAACAACUUGGAAUGCAGAAAACAACAAUUAUAAGAAUAUAAACAAAAUGCCAUUUACUUAAACCAAAGGAACUCAGAGUACCUUAGAAAUUCUUCAUAUGAAUCAUUAAACUUGUUUUCUAAAAUUCUCCAGUCAUUGGGAUGUAAAAUUCAUCAACCACCAAGAAAAAUAAUCCAGAACUACUUUUUCCUACAUAAAAUUCUAUUUGCCUGCUUAAACUUGACGAAAAAUGUUUUUAUUACCAUUACAAAGAAUAUGGUUUCAUAGAAAUAUUCUAAAUACAAACACAUUGUUCAAGCAACAAGAGAUAAACAUCACAAAAACUAUGAAGGACAUGGUCACUCAGAUUUUUAAUUCCAAAAAUUAUAAACAUGAAAACUUGAACAAAAUGGCCAAAUGAAAUUGCAGAAAGACUAUAGAUAGAAAACCCAAUAUUUAAUGUAUACGACAUAGACAUUAUCCUCAUAAUCAUGGAAAAAUUAGUAGCAUAAAUUCAAUCAUCAACCAUAAAGCAUAAAACCCUUUACUAACCAAUAAUUCAAGGACAAAAAGAAGUAAACUCAAAGAAAUAGAAAAAAUGAAGUGAUACCCAGAAUCGAUGAGACACAUGCUGAGGUGAAGAAGAAGAAAAGGAAGAGGAGGAGGAAACUCUGUUGGUGUUAGCAUCAGAAUUAAAAUCCAAUAAGUUGGAAUCAGUAGCAGAAGCAACCAGCGAAGAAACCCGCAAACCCAGCGCCAACUAAAAUUGGUAACUCUCUUCGGUCUGUUGAGCCCAGCUUCUAUUGAAGGACUGAUUUGCAACCCAAAGGGAAAGGGAAUAUGAAGGGAAAGGGGUAGAGGAAAAGGGAGAAGAAUGAGUCAAUUCCCCUGUUUUGGAAAAUGUCUUAUCGAAAAAAAAGUGUAAGACAUUUUCCCAGAAAAAGGCGUUAUUUUCCGUCUUUUGGAAAAGCUUUUACAGUGGGAAUUUGUUUUCCACCAAACAAACAGUGGAAAAUGAUGAAAAUAUUUUCCAAAAAACAAAAUACAAGUAAUCAAACAGACCCUUAAAUUCAAAUGCAGCAACCAAAAUCCCUCACCAAUCCACAAUAUCAAUAAAUCUCAAUUCAAACCCAAAAAUAAUCGGUAAAAAAAAAGUUGAACCCAUAAUUAUAGACCAAAAAGGGAAUUUUGAAAAACUUACCACCAUUCCCCUAUUAGGAAAUCUUACCCACAAUCAACAAUUAGAAAUCAGAACUCACCAGAAUGUUUAUUAUUUUCAAUUUGAACCAACUCUACAGUCACUUAUUGCCCAUGAUCAUCAUCCUAUAAACCCAUGAGCAUUAUUAACUUCAAAACCCAAAACACUUAUAUCAGCAUCCAACCCUACAAUGAUAGUCUUAUCGACUCAAUUAAACAAGUUUCCUUUGUCAAUCUAUAUCAAGAAACUAAGCUUGGUGUUAACAGAAGCAAGAUGUUUACUUCUAAGUUUUAGGCAUUGUUUUUGUGAUUGUUGAUCAUUACUAUUACAAUGAAGAGAUGAAUAAUUAAUCCUUUGCCGCAUAAGAAAUACAUUCCCACUUGAUUAUUAUCACAAUGAAAGAAUAAUAUAAUAACAGUAGUGCCAUUUAUGGUCCUCAUUGAACUACUACCUAGCCGCAUACGAAACAAACACCCUCACACUUCAUUAUCAUUACUACAUAUAUACAUCACACAAUAUCUUAGUGCUAAAACCUAUAUUAUCCACUUCUUAGUUAAAGAUGUGGGUGGUUGGUAUUGAACAACCAUGGAUUGUUCACCACUCGAGUCCUAGUAACAAAGCUUCAAAGAAAAGAACUUUAACAAAACACACCUGAAAAAUCCAAAGUGAGUGCCGACGGUGGUGAGUGAAGUCCAAAUCGAAGGUAUGUCACUGCGAUGACCGAUGGCAGACAAACGUCGAAUGAUGAUGGUGACCGGGUGGACAUCGGACGGUGUGACUGGUGGACAUCAGAAGGUUCACAAAGGUGACUAGCACUGGUAGUAGAGAUUUUGAGAGAUUUCAAAUUAAGGAUUUUGAAUUUUGAGGGUUAGGAAUUUCUCAUUUCUGUGACUGUGCGUGAUUUUUA